UGCGNAUGGGCGAAGCCUGACGCAGCGACGCCGCGUGGGGGAUGAAGCUUUUCGGAGUGUAAACCCCUUUCGACCGGGACGAAACGCCCGCAAGGGAAUUGACGGUACCGGUAGAAGAAGCCCCGGCUAACUACGUGCCAGCAGCCGCGGUAAGACGUAGGGGGCCAGCGUUGCUCGGAAUAACUGGGCGUAAAGGGUCUGUAGGCGGUGUGGCAAGUCGGGAGUGAAAUCUCUGGGCUUAACUCAGGGGCUGCUUCCGAAACUGCCGUGCUUGAGUGCGGGAGAGGUGAGUGGAAUUGCAGGUGUAGCGGUGAAAUGCGUAGAUAUCUGCAGGAACACCCGUGGCGAAGGCGGCUCACUGGACCGCAACUGACGCUGAGAGACGAAAGCUAGGGGAGCAAACAGGAUUAGAUACCCUGGUAGUCCUAGCCCUAAACGAUCAGAACUUGGGGUGCAUCCCGUUGGGGGUGCGUCCCGUAGCUAACGCGUUAAGUUCUGCGCCUGGGGAGUACGGUCGCAAGACUGAAACUCAAAAAAAUUGACGGA
rnacentral:rRNA from 1 species